GAUUUUGCACAGUGGCAGUAUCACAGCCAGUGAGGUUUAUCUGAGGCAUGAUUAUUGCUAAUUGAAACUAGCUUACAAGGGCAACUAGCUUAGCAUUUACUUAUGAACCUAUAAUCCAGUCAUUCUCAACAGGU